UACGUAGGGUGCAAGCGUUGUCCGGAAUUAUUGGGCGUAAAGAGCUCGUAGGCGGUUAGUCGCGUCUGCUGUGAAAACUCGGGGCUUAACUCCGGGCCUGCAGUGGGUACGGGCUGACUAGAGUGCGGUAGGGGAGACUGGAAUUCCUGGUGUAGCGGUGAAAUGCGCAGAUAUCAGGAGGAACACCGGUGGCGAAGGCGGGUCUCUGGGCCGGAACUGACGCUAAGGAGCGAAAGCGUGGGGAGCGAACAGG
rnacentral:rRNA from 1 species